GCUCGUCUGAGACGGAGAGCUGACGCGAGGAGACGCUGACGGGCCAGCUGACCAUCCAGUGAGGACUCCGGUGAAACUUGCUUCUCUCUGUUCUGACAAAUGAACAUGGAGGGAAAGCUGUAGGCCCUCGGCGAACUUCCGACCGGCAGGUAGAACGGAUAUCCCUGUGGUGAAGCUCCGCCCUCCACACCUCGAUGACGAGCUGGCUCCUAAAAGCGAGAGAAGAUAGAGAGAAAGGUCACCUCAACCAAAGAGGACAAUCUCAUCCUAUGGGUCCGUAAUAUCGUUCAGACUGUUCUUACCAGAAGGGUGCGGCUCAACUCGACUCGAUAUGUCGCAUGCCAUCAACGCAGAUCAAAACGUGCACAAUCAUCUUCUGUGUUGUGAGGAACACUACAUGACCAGUUUGGGUCUCUGCUCUCCCAGAGCGACCAACUCUGUGAAAACAACAGAGCCAGCAAUGUCAUCAGCUCUCCUGCAAACCACAGAGCAGGUGGAGGGGUCGGCGGCGGUGUGGCACCUGCCGAGCUGCCAAACUACAGCCGCUGGGAGAGUUUCCAGCCUUGUUUAGGGUGACAACACCAGGUUCCUGCUGAAGGCCGAGGCGAAACACCAGGCCAAUGUGGAAACAUCUCAACCAAACGAGUGAGCUGUGCUGCUUCAAAACGUCACAGCAGCAGGCAGAAAGUCACUCACACAUUAAAUUCAGCACCUGGAUGGUUGUCCAUGUGUCCAUGGGUGCAUCCUUAGGUAAAACACUCCUUUCCAACAGUGUUUUCUCACAUGCCAGGCACCUGAUGGAGGUGGACAGCGGGAAAAUAGGCUCAGGGAAAGUGGCCAAGUGGGUGAGCGUGGCUGCACGGGUGGCAGAGUGGCUGUCCUGACAAGAUAAAUUGGGGGCCACUCACUCCCAUUGAAUCAGGCAGCAGAAACACUAGUCGAGGACUUUGUUUCACCUCAGGAGAGGUGAUUUAAGUGGGCCUUUGAGUCAUUUCUAACCGUAUAGGAUAAAGUGGACCAGUGAUACUGCUGUUUAAGUUAUUAGCAGCCCCGUCUUAGUGAUCAUAUGAGAAGCAUAAUUCAGGGCUGCAUAUCUCAAACUCAAUCUCAAUCUCAAAAAAUAAUAUCUCAAUCUCAAAAAUAUCACGUGGUCCUGCUGCAGUCUAACUGUGUACACUGUCUCCCUCUAGUGGCGUGAAGGGGGAAAUCCUCAGCUUUGAGUCCAACCAGUAAUGAUGAGGAUUUUGAGCACAUAUGUACAGACUUAAAUUUGUACUGUCUGUUACAGUACACUGUGGGACAAAAUGCUGGAGCUUGUACAGCAUUUAAACCAGCUCCUGUGUGUGUGUGUGUGUGUGUGUGUGUGUGUGUCCUUCAGUGUGAAUGUUUACAGCCUCUGAAUGUUUACUGUAUCCCAACAAAAAGAA